rnacentral:rRNA from 1 species
GGUUAAGCGACUAAGCGUACACGGUGGAUGCCCUGGCAGUCAGAGGCGAUGAAGGGCGUGCUAAUCUGCGAUAAGCGCCGGUAAGGUGAUAUGAACCGUUAUAACCGGCGAUACCCGAAUGGGGAAACCCAGUGUGACUCGUCACACUAUCAUUAACUGAAUCCAUAGGUUAAUGAGGCGAACCGGGGGAACUGAAACAUCUAAGUACCCCGAGGAAAAGAAAUCAACCGAGAUUCCCCCAGUAGCGGCGAGCGAACGGGGAGGAGCCCAGAGCCUGAAUCAGCAUGUGUGUUAGUGGAAGCGUCUGGAAAGGCGCGCGAUACAGGGUGACAGCCCCGUACACAAAAGCGCAUGUGCUGUGAGCUCGAUGAGUAGGGCGGGACACGUGGUAUCCUGUCUGAAUAUGGGGGGACCAUCCUCCAAGGCUAAAUACUCCUGACUGACCGAUAGUGAACCAGUACCGUGAGGGAAAGGCGAAAAGAACCCCGGCGAGGGGAGUGAAAAAGAACCUGAAACCGUGUACGUACAAGCAGUGGGAGCCCCACCACCAAAGCAUUCUCUGGUGUUGAAGGCCCUGCAAAGCAGCAUCGCGGUGGCGGAGCGUCGUUUGCGACGCCCAACACACAAAACAAGCGGUGAGUGCUUUGGGGUGGGGUGACUGCGUACCUUUUGUAUAAUGGGUCAGCGACUUAUAUUCUGUAGCAAGGUUAACCGAAUAGGGGAGCCGGAGGGAAACCGAGUCUUAAUUGGGCGUUAAGUUGCAGGGUAUAGACCCGAAACCCGGUGAUCUAGCCAUGGGCAGGUUGAAGGUUGGGUAACACUAACUGGAGGACCGAACCGACUAAUGUUGAAAAAUUAGCGGAUGACCUGUGGCUGGGGGUGAAAGGCCAAUCAAACCGGGAGAUAGCUGGUUCUCCCCGAAAGCUAUUUAGGUAGCGCCUCGUGAAUUCAUCUCCGGGGGUAGAGCACUGUUUCGGCUAGGGGGCCAUCCCGGCUUACCAACCCGAUGCAAACUGCGAAUACCGGAGAAUGUUAUCACGGGAGACACACGGCGGGUGCUAACGUCCGUCGUGAAGAGGGAAACAACCCAGACCGCCAGCUAAGGUCCCAAAGUCAUGGUUAAGUGGGAAACGAUGUGGGAAGGCCCAGACAGCCAGGAUGUUGGCUUAGAAGCAGCCAUCAUUUAAAGAAAGCGUAAUAGCUCACUGGUCGAGUCGGCCUGCGCGGAAGAUGUAACGGGGCUAAACCAUGCACCGAAGCUGCGGCAGCGAACGUAUCACUUAAAGCGAUUCAGCGGGUUACGAUUGACGGAGCGAAGCGACGUCAAAGCGUAUACAAAGUCGAGUCGGUUUAAGGAUACGUUCGUUGGGUAGGGGAGCGUUCUGUAAGCCUGUGAAGGUGGCCUGUGAGGGUUGCUGGAGGUAUCAGAAGUGCGAAUGCUGACAUAAGUAACGAUAAAGCGGGUGAAAAGCCCGCUCGCCGGAAGACCAAGGGUUCCUGUCCAACGUUAAUCGGGGCAGGGUGAGUCGACCCCUAAGGCGAGGCCGAAAGGCGUAGUCGAUGGGAAACGGGUUAAUAUUCCCGUACUUGGUGUUACUGCGAAGGGGGGACGGAGAAGGCUAUGUUGGCCGGGCGACGGUUGUCCCGGUUUAAGCGUGUAGGUGUGUGUUCCAGGUAAAUCCGGUUCACUUUAACACUGAGGCGUGACGACGAGGCACUACGGUGCUGAAGCAACAAAUGCCCUGCUUCCAGGAAAAGCCUCUAAGCAUCAGGUAACAUCAAAUCGUACCCCAAACCGACACAGGUGGUCAGGUAGAGAAUACCAAGGCGCUUGAGAGAACUCGGGUGAAGGAACUAGGCAAAAUGGUGCCGUAACUUCGGGAGAAGGCACGCUGACAUGUAGGUGAAGUGAUUUACUCAUGGAGCUGAAGUCAGUCGAAGAUACCAGCUGGCUGCAACUGUUUAUUAAAAACACAGCACUGUGCAAACACGAAAGUGGACGUAUACGGUGUGACGCCUGCCCGGUGCCGGAAGGUUAAUUGAUGGGGUCAGCGCAAGCGAAGCUCCUGAUCGAAGCCCCGGUAAACGGCGGCCGUAACUAUAACGGUCCUAAGGUAGCGAAAUUCCUUGUCGGGUAAGUUCCGACCUGCACGAAUGGCGUAAUGAUGGCCAGGCUGUCUCCACCCGAGACUCAGUGAAAUUGAACUCGCUGUGAAGAUGCAGUGUACCCGCGGCAAGACGGAAAGACCCCGUGAACCUUUACUAUAGCUUGACACUGAACAUUGAGCCUUGAUGUGUAGGAUAGGUGGGAGGCUUUGAAGUGUGGACGCCAGUCUGCAUGGAGCCGACCUUGAAAUACCACCCUUUAAUGUUUGAUGUUCUAACGUGGACCCGUAAUCCGGGUUGCGGACAGUGUCUGGUGGGUAGUUUGACUGGGGCGGUCUCCUCCUAAAGAGUAACGGAGGAGCACGAAGGUUGGCUAAUCCUGGUCGGACAUCAGGAGGUUAGUGCAAUGGCAUAAGCCAGCUUGACUGCGAGCGUGACGGCGCGAGCAGGUGCGAAAGCAGGUCAUAGUGAUCCGGUGGUUCUGAAUGGAAGGGCCAUCGCUCAACGGAUAAAAGGUACUCCGGGGAUAACAGGCUGAUACCGCCCAAGAGUUCAUAUCGACGGCGGUGUUUGGCACCUCGAUGUCGGCUCAUCACAUCCUGGGGCUGAAGUAGGUCCCAAGGGUAUGGCUGUUCGCCAUUUAAAGUGGUACGCGAGCUGGGUUUAGAACGUCGUGAGACAGUUCGGUCCCUAUCUGCCGUGGGCGCUGGAGAACUGAGGGGGGCUGCUCCUAGUACGAGAGGACCGGAGUGGACGCAUCACUGGUGUUCGGGUUGUCAUGCCAAUGGCACUGCCCGGUAGCUAAAUGCGGAAGAGAUAAGUGCUGAAAGCAUCUAAGCACGAAACUUGCCCCGAGAUGAGUUCUCCCUGAGACUUAAAGUCUCCUGAAGGAACGUUGAAGACGACGACGUUGAUAGGCCGGGUGUGUAAGCGCAGCGAUGCGUUGAGCUAACCGGUACUAAUGAACCGUGAGGCUUAACCUU